rnacentral:rRNA from 1 species
AUUGAACGCUGGCGGCAUGCUUUACACAUGCAAGUCGAACGGCAGCGCGGGCUUCGGCCUGGCGGCGAGUGGCGCACGGGUGAGUAAUGCAUCGGAACGUGCCCAGUAGUGGGGGAUAGCCCGGCGAAAGCCGGAUUAAUACCGCAUACGACCUGAGGGUGAAAGCGGGGGACCGAAAGGCCUCGCGCUAUUGGAGCUGCCGAUGUCGGAUUAGCUAGUUGGUGGGGUAAAGGCUUACCAAGGCGACGAUCCGUAGCUGGUCUGAGAGGACGACCAGCCACACUGGGACUGAGACACGGCCCAGACUCCUACGGGAGGCAGCAGUGGGGAAUUUUGGACAAUGGGGGCAACCCUGAUCCAGCCAUGCCGCGUGCGGGAAGAAGGCCUUCGGGUUGUAAAGCGCUUUUGUUCGGGAAGAAAUCCUCUGGGCUAAUACCCCGGGGGGAUGACGGUACCGGAAGAAUAAGCACCGGCUAACUACGUG